AUGGGGUCACAAAGAGUCGGGCACAACCGAGAAACUGAACAACUGCUGCUCCCGCCCCCAAAACUGGUGAUGGGGCUCCGGAAGGCUCCCCCACUGCUGUGUCUCUCAAGCUUUCGUCUGGUGGACACCACUGGAGGAAAUCUUGCUUGGGCCACCUCACCUGCUCUCCUGGCCUGCAGCCUCCUCCUGCUCCUACUCGGAGGUUUCUGCCACUUAGAGCUGAUCCUGUUCCUCCCCAGCGCCCUCUGGGGUCGUAGGUCUGGCUUCUCCCAUCUAAAAUAUCCCCAUCUCAGAGUUCAGAUGCUCCCUGUAUCCAUCUCCCCCAAAGCCUGCAGGGCCAGGUCCCUUCUACCCAGAAUGCCCUUCUCUGGUCACCAUGGAAACCAUUCUGGUCUCCCCUCAGGGUUCCACCCGCUGGUCUUCUCUGUCUGGCUCAGAGGCUCAGGAAAGGGAGAGGGAGGCCAAGCAACCCAGAGUCUGGAAGUCAUGGCCAUGAACUUUCAGGAAAAUGUGACCCUGGCCAUGGCCGUAUUCACCAUCCUCGCUUCCAUCUACUUCUUCAACAAGGUGAGUGGGAAGGGGGUGGAGGUGGCAGGCUAGAUCUCGGGUGCUUCGGCCUCUGUGUUAUCAUUUUCGUCUCUCUUCCCUUCCUGUUUCUGUGGAUCUUUCUGUCUCUUUUCGUCUUGUAGGCGCAGCAAUGAGAAGACACAGCACCACCUAACCCAAGAGUCCUGCCUCUGUCCCGACCAUGACUCUGGCCUCUGAGACCAAAUAAAUGUGACUGAGUCAGCACACCCUGCUCCAUUUCACCAGGCCAGCAGGCACACCGCCUCUGGCCAGCUCUGUCUGAGGUCCAGGCUUCUGGGUCAGAGAGAGGAAGCCUGGACUCCUGGGUCUGGGGAAGUUGGGGACUAGCAAGAUAGACUUUUAGAUUUGAGGCUAGGAGUCCAGUCAUCGAGCUGGGUUUUGAAGGAUGAGUAGGAGUCUGUCAGAGUUUAGAUGGGGGAAGGACAUUCCAACCUGUGUGCAAGAGCACAGAGAGGAGAAAUAACAGGGCUGAUUCCCCACCUGGUACCAACACAGACUGCUGUGUACUUCAGAUUUAUUUCUUCUCUCUGAGCCUUGGUUUUCUCCUUGGACUCCAAAAGGCUGUAGCAAGGAUAACCUGACAUGAAAGAUGUGAAUGGAAUUUGCAAGCUACGGAGGGUCUGUAGUGGUCAUCUUCACUGUUUCAUUGUAUCAACACAUCUUUCUCUUAGCAAACUCCUAUUCAGCCUCACUGCAAAUGCCCCUUACUAUAAAAGUAUCCAGACCUCCAAACACAUAGCCAGUUACCCCCUCCCUCACUAGCUGCCUCCUCUCCGCUCCCUGUCUCCAUCCCCAGUAGGUGGAAUGCCCUGGGUGAUACGCUAGCCUUUAGUUGAGCUUUAUUCAUUUUUUUUCAUCAGAUAAACAUUUCAUUUCAAUUCAAGAUUUGAAAAGGAGACUUCUGAGCAGAGUGACUGAACAUCCUGGGUUUCCCAGGGAAGGCCUAGCAAAUUCGAAUUAGGAAUUGAUUUAUAGUCUUACUAUAAUUUUGGCUUGCGGAAUGCAAAGCACUUUGGGCCAGUUAUUCCAGUAUAAUUGGGAACCGAAUCCUCUUUAUUUCUUCCUUUUUAUUUAUUUAGUUUUAGCUGUGCUGGGUCUUCAUUGCUUUGAGGGAUCUUCUUUAGUUGCAGCGAGCAGGGGCCCCUCUCUAGUUGUGGUGCACAGGCUUCUCAUUUCGGGGGCUUCUCUCGUUGCAGAACACAGGCUCUGGGGCUCAUGGGCUUCCGUAGUUGCAGCAUGUGGGCAGCUAAUAGCUGCAGUGCACAGGUUUAGUUGCUCCGCAGCAUGUGGGAAUCUUCCAGGACUGGGAGUCGAACCCACGUCUCCUGCGCUGGCAGGCGGAUCCUUUACCACUGAGCCAUCAGGGAAGCCCCUUUCUUUAAGUCUUGAAAGUGGUCUGAUUCAAAAGGGAGUCUUACUUACAGAGGGGCUGGCUUCCCAGGUGGCACUAGUGGUAAAGAACCCGCCUGCCAGUGCAAGAGGCUUAAGAGGGCAUACAUUCGAUCCCUGGGUGGGGAAGAUCUCCUGGAGGAGGGCAUGACAACCCACUCCUGUAAUCUUGCCUGGAGAAUCCUGUGGCCAGAGGAGCCUGGCAGGCCACAGUCUGUAGGGUCACAAAGAGUCGGACACAACUGAGGAGACUCAGCACACAGCACUUACAGGAGACCUUGUUUGCAAAACUGAGAAUGACCACACGGGGGCGGUGUUGGACCAUGUUCCCAGCCAGAACUUGGUUCCCCUGGUUAAGUUAGUUGAUUUCCGCAAAACCAGAAUUCUGUGACCUGGGUGGGGAAGCCUUCCUCGUCCCUGGACCUUCCCCCUGCCCCCCCAUCCCUCUCCUCCAGUCCUCCUAAGGGUCCUUCUAUAAGCAGAGCUGACCUGUCCUUCCCUGCUCACAGUCCCUCCCCCGGGAUAGCUGUCCCAGCCCAACAGACUGGCAUCGCAGCAAGGUGUAUCUAACCUGACAGCCCUCCAGGCUUUCUUUUUAAAAUCUCGCCCACUUCCCAUGCCCCUCCUGUAGCACACCCUUGCCCAGCUGCUGAGUCGUGUCUGACUCUUUUGUGACUCCGUGGACUGCAGCCUUCCAGGCUCCUCCGUCCAUUACUGGAGUGGGUUGCCAUUUCUUUCUCCAGGGGAUCUUCCCGCACCAAGGAUCGAAUCCAGGUCUCCUCAAGUGUGUCUCCUGCAUUGGGAGGCAAACUCCACAUGUAACUGAGAUGGUUUAGAAAAAAGAAAAACACACCCCAGGGCCAUUGCACAUGCUGUGCUCCCAGCCUGGAGCAUCCACCUCUAUUUUGUGUCAUUUCCACCUGAAAGCCUUCCUAAAACCCCUCCCGAUCAGAAUCAGGCUCCCUACCCCUCACACCUUCCCUGCUCAUCCUUCUCGACAGUGACUGGGAGCCUGAGGGUGGGGCUGCAGAAUAAGAUCUGACUCCUGUUCAACCCCCAGCAUGGGUCUUGGCUAUCAGUGUUUGUGAAGC
ensembl:lincRNA